rnacentral:lncRNA from 1 species
CACUAUGAGGAGAAACUUGGGUUCAAACCAGUGAUUGUUACCAACUUCCCUGGAGCUGACCUCUUGCCUUACACUGCUACUGACUCUGGGAGAAUUCCUGAUGAGCAGCAAAGCCUUCGGACGUGGAAAACAGAUAGUCUAGAAGCUGAAGUGAAGAAGACCCUAUUCUCAGGAUUUCAGAUCCAAAAUAGUAUAAAAACCAAACAUAAAUCUGCUGUGGGAUGAGUCUGGGCAUAAAUAAAUAGUGAAAUGGGCUUGAAUUAAAACA